CAGAGAAACAGAAAGUAGACUGGUGGCUACCAGGGGCUGAGAGGAGCAAGGAAAAUGGAGUUGUUCAAUGGGUAAAGAGUUUCAGAUUUGCAAGAUGGAAAACUUCUGGAUAUGUGUUUCACAGCAAUGUGAAUAUAUUUAACAGUAUUGAACUGUAUACUUAAUAACCGUUAACAUGGUAAAUUUCAUUAAAUACAUCUUUACCAGAGUAAAAUGCAUUUUUUUUAAAAAUCAGCUGGGCGAGAUGGUUCAAGCCUGUAAUCAGAGCACUUUGGUGGGCGGAUCA
rnacentral:lncRNA from 10 species